CAACAACUUUUGUUGUAGAUAAGGCUUUUUCCCAUUGUGUGCGCCAUGUGCCUGUGGAGGUUCCUGACAAAAUUUGCGGUUGUUCACCAGAGUCAUUGAGGGUCAGCCCAGGGAAGACUGUUGCUGUGAUCACAAUGAAUGGACGAUAUGAUCUAAGCAUGCCUGAGUUGAGUUGUGAGGCAUGCCAAGCCACUUGGGCUGCUGGAGUGGUCGAGCUAAAUCGAAGUGACUACUGGCCUGCGACCCUUAACUUUGCCACAAUUCAUGCCACAGAUGUCUUUUUUUCAUUUGAAGAAAUGAAGAUGGCAGCACCAGGACUGUCCUGCCAAGCUUUUUCGAAAAU